GACGAACGCUGGCGGCGCGCUUAACACAUGCCAGUCGAACGGAAAGGCCUGCUUUCCCUUGUGGAUUGCGGGUACUCGAGUGGCGAACGGGUGAGUAACACGUGAGUGAUCUGCCCCCAACUUGGGUAUAAGCCUGGGAAACUGGGUCUAAUUCCCGAUAGGACUGCAGGGUGGUGCCUGUGGUGGAAAACGAUUUUCUAGUGGUUGGGGAUGAGCUCGCGGCCUAUCAGCUUGUUGGUGGGGUAAUGGCCUACCAAGGCGGCGACGGGUAGCCGGCCUGGGAGGGUGGACGGCCGCAUUGGGACUGAGAUACGGCCCAGACUCCUACGGGAGGCAGCAGUGGGGAAUAUUGCACAAUGGGCGGAAGCCUGAUGCAGCGACGCCGCGUGGGGGAUGACGGCCUUCGGGUUGUAAACUCCUUUCGACCGCGAGGAAGCCACCUGGUUGGAAGGGUGGUGACGGUAGUGGUAGAAGAAGCACCGGCUAACUACGUG
rnacentral:rRNA from 1 species